AGCAACAAAACAACAAAGCAUAAAACAUUAAACAAAUGAGUAAAAGAGAUAUUAAUAAAACAAAUGCACCCUAAGAUACAGUUCUUUAUAAAAGCAAGAUUAAAAUAUAUCAACCAAUUCCGAGUAAAAGACCAUAAAACCACGAGUCCCAUCAAGGCCAGUCCAUAAAUGUUUGUAAGAUGACAACAGGCCACAACAAAACACAACAAAACAAGACAGCAGCAGUAUGGCACAAUCCUGUAACAAAAAAGGGAAACAGUCUUCAAGGUCCACCCUACCAUAUGCCACAUUAUAACUAACGCAAGAGUCCCACUUACCACUCUCUAAAGGGCAAUACUAAAAUGAGCGGCUUUCAUGAAGAAAGCAAACCUCUCUGCAAUGCUUAACCAUGUAAUGCUCUUGGCCACCAUGAAUGGAAAAAGCCUGCCAAAUGCCUCAGUGUGGUACUGAAGUGCAGUUGUUUCUUAUAGGGCCUCCAAUUAUCAGCUGGGAAGGUGUGGAUAUUAGUGCUGCAUUCGUGGACAUCACGUAAAAUCCUACCCCAAAAUCUACUUCACUACAUACGGGACAAACUGUGGUCCUUUUCAGCUCAAUAUGAAACGCGUAAUAUUUUCUCUGAGCACGGGACGAUUCCGUUUAAUACAGGACGGUUGGCAACUCUAUUAACUAACCUUAUGAAUAAAAUAAAGUUCACUAUCAGUAACAUCAUAGCACCCCCCUCAGCUGUAUAGAAACUGCUACCCUCUAGGGUGGCACAUCUGUUCCACCAAAUCCAGUUAAUCUGUGACGCCAGUUAAUCUGGAACACCGGCGUCCGCCUCGGGUCUCUCCUCCUCCUGCUUCACCUUUCCUUCAUCCACCUGCUGGCCUCAGUGGAAGCUCCGCCACAGCCACUACCAAACAACUGAGUUAUUUUUAUGCCAGCAUCUGGCCAAUCCACCACCUUUCAUUGUUUAUACAGCAGUGGUACAAACAGCGCCGGAUCAUGGACCCUGCGUUCUGCAGCCUGUGAGUUUCACAGUUAUCACAAAAAGACAAAAGAGUUUGUUCAUCCAACCACUGAUUUUUUUCCCAAAUGUAUUUCUGUGGUAGUUUGUUGGCAGGUUCUGGCUCCUCCGUCUAAAGCUAUCAUUACUUCCAGGUAUCUGAGAGGUCUGAUGGGAACCUUCAAUGAGAGGGCAGAGAAACUGAUGGAUAAACUUGCAGAUGUUGCCGACAGUAAAACAGAAGCUAAUAUGCUCCAGCUUGUCAACUGUUACCCUGGAUGUUAUUACUAAGGUUGCUUUCGGGGUGGACUUGGACCUGCUGAAGAACACUUCACAGUUCCCUAAAGCCAUUGAGACAUGUUUGAAAGGGAUGGCUCACUACAUUAGAGACAACGUUUUCGAGGAAUUACUUCAGUGUUUUUUAGAGUAUGUACUGCAAGUCUUGUUGCAUGAAAUGUUAACUUCUUCAAUCUGCCAUUCCAGUUUAAUCCAAAGAACAGAGGAUACAUUAAUGAGGUGAGGGAAGCGUGCCGUCUGCUGCGCAAAACUGGAUCUCAGUGGAUCGCUGAGAGAAAGGCCGCCAUUGAAAACGGUGGCGAGGUCCCCAAGGACAUCCUGACACAAAUCAUCAAAACUGCCAACCAAGAGGAAAUCAUGACUGAAGAAGAUGAGGAGUUUAUGCUGGACAAUUUCGUGACAUUCUUCAUUGCCGGAAAAAUGCUGCUGUGUUCAGACACCAAAUAAAAAACUAAAUGGAGAUACAAGCGGCGGAAAUGAGAUUCCUUCGAAGGGUGGCUGGCCUCUCCCUUAGAGAUAGGGUGAGAAGUUCCGCUAUUCGGGAGGGGCUCUGAGUAGAGACGCUGCUCCUCCACAUCAAAAGGAGCCAGUUGAGAUGGUUCUGGCAUCUGACAAGGAUACCUCCUGGGUGAGGUGUUCUGGGCAUGUCCCACCGGGAGGAGGCCCCAGGGCAGACCCAGCACACCUGGAGAGAUCAUUCAAAACGGAGAUGAGGUCCCCAGGACAUCGUGACACAAAUCAUCUAAACUGCAAGCCAAGUUAUAUGUGUAUGUAGGUGUGUGUGGGUGUGGCCCUGGCAGGUGAUUGGCCACACCUGAAAACCGUGACACACCUGCAGCUGAUCAGGCCUCGUCGGAGGAACUACUUGAGAGUGUGGUGGAGCUCUCUCCGACGCUGGAUCAUUGCGUGGCUUCACGAGUAGCGGGGAGGCGAGAGGACAGCGAGCACGGGGUGCUCAUCACGGAGAAGCGGAGACAGGAGUACUAGCACUGGGAAGAGGACAGGGAUUUAUUGUCAUGUUUUUCCAUCACUGUAAAUAAACGCACUGCUAAGCACACAGAGCUCCGCGCCUGGGUCCUCCUUCCCUACACCCCCACGGUUUGCCAUGCCAGACCGUGACACCUUAUGCCCUGGCUAAAUGAGGAACUCAUGAAUUUGAAGAGAGAUUGUAGAAAAGCCGAGUGUCAUUGGCGAUGUUCCCGACUGGAAGUAUUUCUACAGACUUGGAAAGACACUGUCUUUUUUUCUCCCAUCAGCAUUGUCUGCAGCAAAAGCAAACCAUUUCUCAAAUCUCAUGAUGUGUCAUAAGCAUAAUUCAAAACUUUUAUUUAACACAGUGUCCCAAUAUACAGAAAGUAAGCUAACUAUCUGCUGCUCAAAUUGUCAUGGUCCUGAGUCUGUGGACUCAGUGGAUUUGGUUUUGAUUAUUAUCUUGUUUUAUGUUCGUUCUUGUUGGGAAUUUCUUGUUCUUAGGUUUUGUUUCUGUUUUGUAUUUCGAGCUCCUUUUGUUCUGUGUCUCUGUGCCGGUCCUGGUUCCACGUCUUUGUGUUCCCUCCCUGUUGCCAUUUCUUGUGUUAAGCUCGUGUCUGUGCAUACCUGUUGUAUUUCCUGUUUUACUUUGAAGGAUCUUAUCUUAUGUCAGUGUGUUCAGUUUACGUUUCCCCUGUCUCGUCAGCUCUGAUUUCUCCCAGCUGUGUUGCCCUCCUGUAUCCCAUUCCCUGAUUGCCCCUGUGAGUAUAUAAGCCCUGCUUGUUGCUGGUCCGUGUGUGUUGUCUCCCAGUGUUUCCGCUGUAUGUAGGUUUCAGGUCAGUUUUGUUAGUUUUCUCAGUUUAGGUUUCUCUGUAUGCCAUUCCUCCUGUAUCCUGUUCACUUCACAAAAUAAAGUUCACU